rnacentral:lncRNA from 1 species
CAGGACUCUAUGGUGUGAUGGGGCGGCGCUCUAGCUGUCCCUGUCAAGGCUCCUCCCCUCUACAGAACACCGCGUGGGCCACUCCUGCUCUCCCAGCUCCCGGGAGCGCCCCGCCCCGCCCGGAACUACAUCUCCCAUCACCCCGUGAAGUCCCGCGUGCUCUCGCGAGAUGUCUGGCUCCUAGCUUUCCCGUGAUCCCUUGCGGGGCCGCGCUCAGCGGCGGCGUCUCCACGGGGCCCGCGGAAGGUGAGCGCGUCCGCGCGGCGUUCCGACGUGACGUCAUCCCGCGAGGCUGGGCGCUCGCCGCGGUGAUGCGGGUCUCGGGCUGAGCGCGGGAGUUGGGCUGCGUUGCCAUAACAAUGCGCGAUGACGUGUUCCCGCCACAAAAUGGAGUCACGGGGUGACGGAUCUGCAGCAGCCCCUCGAAGAAGCUGGGAGAAGGGACAGGAUCUUGUCCUCACAUCCUCCACACAGGAUCCACGGCAUCUUCCACCGAGGCGUCUCCCAUGGGAAAGUGCGUACAGGGGGUGCUGCCCAAGUAGGCCACAGCCGGGGGACUGCAGGGUGCCAGAGGCUUGCCUGACUUCUUGCUGUCUUGUGCACACGCAUUGCGGACAGGGAGGGGUUAAUUCUGAUCUCUAUUUCCGCCCCCUCCCCCAUCACAGAAGAGAGGAAGGUGGUGCUGUGGUGGGUGGGGGCAGCCUUUGA